rnacentral:rRNA from 1 species
UACGUAGGGGGCUAGCGUUGUCCGGAUUUAUUGGGCGUAAAGAGCGUGUAGGCGGCCAGGUAGGUCUGGUGUGAAAACUCGAGGCUUAACCUCGAGAUGUCAUCGGAAACCAUCUGGCUAGAGUCCGGAAGAGGAGAGUGGAAUUCCUGGUGUAGCGGUGAAAUGCGCAGAUAUCAGGAAGAACACCAAUGGCGAAGGCAGCUCACUGGGACGGUAUUGACGCUGAGACGCGAAAGCGUGGGGAGCAAACAGG